rnacentral:rRNA from 1 species
GAUCAUGGCUCAGGAUGAACGCUAGCUACAGGCUUAACACAUGCAAGUCGAGGGGCAGCAUGGUCUUAGCUUGCUAAGGCUGAUGGCGACCGGCGCACGGGUGAGUAACACGUAUCCAACCUGCCGUCUACUCUUGGCCAGCCUUCUGAAAGGAAGAUUAAUCCAGGAUGGGAUCAUGAGUUCACAUGUCGCCACUGAUUAAAGGUAAUUUUACCGGUUAGUACGAU